GGUAAAAUUAUUUUAGUUCGUUGUUUUGAAGACUGCCGAAGUUUUGGUGAGAUUUAAGGUCUGCGUUCGGAUUUAUUUACUCUAGGAGUAUUUUAAGGCGAGUGAACUUAACCUAGAGGGUGAAACUUGCACAAGUUAGAUGGCGUAGGAGUUUCCUCAAUUUUGGGUAACAGGGACAUAUCCAGUGCCCCUUGUGCAGGCGCCCAAGCUGCUAUGGACAACAGACCAAAUUAUUCAAGAGCCGAACCGCCGCUUCGAAGGUUUAAGCGAUUAGCUGGUUUGCCGUUGGAGAAUGAGGGCUUAACGGGAAGAGCCAACUACCAAUCUUCAAACAACCAAUUUGUAAACUAGUCAAAAGUUUUUGUAUAGUCACUGUGUGUAAUUAUAGUCAGAUUGACAAAGAGGACCAUGCAGGUCAUCGAAAGCUUUCUGCUUUGUAUUUUGAAUAAAAAGAUCACAUUA